rnacentral:rRNA from 1 species
GAACAUGAGAGUUUGAUCCUGGCUCAGAAUGAACGCUGGCGGCGUGCCUAACACAUGCAAGUCGAAUGUGCCGCAAGGUGCAUGGCAGACGGGUGAGUAACGCGUGGGCAAUCUACCUUUUCGUGGGGAAUAACGAUCCGAAAGGAUUGGUAAUACCGCAUGAGACCGAUGGCUGGGAUGCUGUCGGUGAAACCUGGGGACCGCAAGGCCUGGGGCGAGAAGAGGAGCCUGCGUCUGAUUAGCUAGUUGG